rnacentral:rRNA from 1 species
UACGGAGGAUGCAAGCGUUAUCCGGAUUUAUUGGGUUUAAAGGGUCCGUAGGCGGGAUAAUAAGUCGGUGGUGAAAUCGAGCAGCUUAACUGUUCAACUGCCAUUGAAACUGUUGGUCUUGAGUGAAUUUGAAGUUGCCGGAAUAUGUAGUGUAGCGGUGAAAUGCAUAGAUAUUACAUAGAACACCAAUUGCGAAGGCAGGUAACUAAGAUUUAACUGACGCUGAUGGACGAAAGCGUGGGGAGCGAACAGGAUUAGAUACCCUGGUA